rnacentral:tRNA from 1 species
AGUCGGAGGUUAAAACCCUCCCUAGUGCU